rnacentral:rRNA from 1 species
CAGCCGCCGCGGUAAUACGAAGGGGGCUAGCGUUGUUCGGAAUUACUGGGCGUAAAGCGCACGUAGGCGGAUAUUUAAGUCAGGGGUGAAAUCCCAGAGCUCAACUCUGGAACUGCCUUUGAUACUGGGUAUCUUGAGUAUGGAAGAGGUUAGUGGAAUUGCGAGUGUAGAGGUGAAAUUCGUAGAUAUUCGCAGGAACACCAGUGGCGAAGGCGGCUAACUGGUCCAUAACUGACGCUGAGGUGCGAAAGCGUGGGGAGCAAACAGGAUUAGAUACCGUGUAGUCCCUGUCUCUUAUACA